GACAAAUAUGUGUAGUCAUGUCAAACAAAUUUCCAUGUUGACCAUAUCCAAAGAAAAAGAAAAAAAAGGAAAAUAUGCUUCUACUUGCUCCGAGUGCUUCAGCUCUCUCUCCAGGGGUGGACAGCAUGCUUCACCGUUGUUUACAAAAUUGCUAAAUGCAAAAAAGCCCGUGCAGUAGAGAUAAAGUUGGUGAUGCCUGGAGCUAUUGACUUGGCAAACCUGACAGAGAAAUUUUGCAUGAUAUCCCUUGCAGAUGUUGUGGUGGGAAGCAUUCACAGAGUCCCAGGAUAUGCUGCCAUUCACAGGGAAUCAUGAGCUCAUCGUGAACAAAGGUGUGAAAUUUUGUUCAUGGUCUGGAUUCUGAGAAGUCAGCUUUGCUGAGCCAGCAUCUGGACUCCAGAUGGGGGAUUUCCGAAAGGACUUCCAUCCCUCCCAUCAGUGUAGGCAAUGAAUAAUGGAAAUACAACCAAACAUUUCUAACAUUAACCUAACUGCCUGAACAAACCUGCUUGGUCCGUUCAUAAAAACAAAGGAGAACAAUAUCUCUGCUACUUAGAUGAUUUGGUCUGAGUUGUUUAGAAAGGCUCCUUUCCAAUGAGAAUUUCAUGGCAGAGGAGAGAAAUUAACAAACUCAACUCAGCAGGAUUGCUGGAGAAAGGAGGAUCACAGGGAUUUCAUAUUAUGAUGCAAUAUUAUCACUGUUAAAAUUUAAUAAACAUGUUUCAAAAUACAAACAAAAGCCAAGCUCGCUCUGGUGUCCCCUCCUUAUUCCAUCCCUUACAAUACAGGGGAAAGGGCUCUUCCAUAGUAGUCUAUAAAAAGGCCUUUUCUUCCUCCCCAUUACCCAUAGUACUCCCUAAUAAAGUCUGGUAGAAUUUCUUUCUGCCUUUCCAUCAGGAGCUUUGUGUGACAUCAGAAAUGGAAAAGUACCUAGCUACUGGAAAUACCCCAAAGAAAUAAGAACUAGCUACACACUAGUUGACAUGUAGCACAAAACAUCUAGAGCCUAUUAGUGUCACUGGCAUUGACGGUUUUUGAGUAAUGUCCUCCUUGAAAUUAAUGCGAUCUCAAAUUCAAGGGGAUUCUAUGAAAACAUCCAGGAAAGGGCUGAUGUUUCAGCAUGGCUGACUCCUGAUGCUUGGAUCCAUGAGAAAGAACAGGAGCUCAGUGAAUCAACUCAAGGAGUCAUAGUCCAAAUACAUCUUACAUGCUGGCCGCAUUUGCAGAAGUCUCACCACCACCAAGCCACACACCCUGA